AUAAUGAUACUUCUGUCCAGCCAUAGACAUCGCAAUGGGGACAGCCUGCGGAGAUCCCGGAGGAGGUGAGAAUCCUAUGA
rfam:Clostridium saccharolyticum WM1, complete genome.